ACAACAUUCGAACCGUCGGUCUACCAAGUAAUAUCACCUGCUCGGUGGAGAAGAUCUUCCCUUUUUUGU
rnacentral:pre_miRNA from 1 species